AGGCAGCAGUGGGGAAUAUUGCACAAUGGGGGAAACCCUGAUGCAGCGACGCCGCGUGAGCGAAGAAGUACUUCGGUAUGUAAAGCUCUGUCAGCAGGGAAGAUAAUGACGGUACCUGACCAAGAAGCCCCGGCUAACUACGUGCC
rnacentral:rRNA from 1 species